GGACCACUUUCUGUUCUUGGCUGGAAUCAGCCUGGCUCUGCCCGCAAAUAGAGAGCCUGUCUUUCUCGCUACGGCAGACCAGAAACUGAAAUAUUCUCUCGGGUCCCCGUUCCAUCUCCACCCCCACCUCACACCCCUGACCCCUUGCCCAAAUUGCUUUUACAGUUCUAAGCUCAACCCCUGCCACACCAGGCUCCCGAAGUCCUCAGAGCAGUCGGAGCUCCACAUCCUUUCCUGCACUCACCUCCAAGGUUUUCACCAGGAUCUUCAUGUAGAUCUCGGAGAUACCCAGGGAUAAUCCGAAGGCCGAGGGUAAAAGGAUGAGGCCGCCCACCAGCGUCAGCCAGGUGGACAGGAGCUUCACCGCCAGGUCUGCGCCCUCCAUGUCUCGGCACGCCCUCAGGGAGAGGUCCCCAGGAAAGCCGAGCGCGGUACGUGUCCGAGUCCCAGGCAGUCCAGCCGCAGUUCGGAAAACACAGCGUCCAGCCCGGAGCCGAGCUCCGGGGAGUCUUUGACGCCCGCCUCGCUCCCUUCAGCUCUGCGGAGCGAAGAGGAAAGGGGAGGCGAGAACUCUCAGAACUACUGCGAUCUCCUUGCUUCCUCCCCUUGGGUCCCGGUUGUCCCCGCAAGCUCACUCUCUACUGGAGGCCCAGGCCAAGCUGUAGCCACGGCAGCGGGCUCAGACCUGAGUGUCUCAGGCGAGAAGACCCAGCUGGGUGACCUAGGGGACACCCUAGUGAAGUCAGAGAGCACGGAGGCAGCCAGGAACGCGCCCCACCCCGGGCCUGAUUUCCUCCGGGUAACGAUUGCGACAACCCCGCGGUGACUCACCGAGGCCCUCCGGUAGCGAGGAUCCCGGCAGGCUCCCUGCACCUCGGCGUGGGCUGCGGGCUAUGCGGGUAGCCAGUGGCUUUCGGGCGCCGGGCUCCCUUUUUCUACACUCUGCCCUUGCCCCACCCCCAUCGCCACCCAACAGGGAGCUCCCGGGCAUGACCGCGUUCCCCGGGCGCCGCCGCCUAGAGAGCCGCCGCCCUCUGCCCCGCCCCGCCCCCCGCACUCCCAGCAAAGGUUCUUUCGGUAGCAGACUUUCCAUCUUCACCCACAGAACGGACCGCUGACGUCUCCAAUCGCUGCGGAAGAUCUUGUUUGCAAGCGUGCAACACGACCUCCUGGGAAGGGCUUUCGGGAGGAGGAAACUACAGAGCAAGGGUGAGCAGACGCGCACCUCCUUCCUUUCCCCAGCCAGCUGCAGUCAGGGAAAGAAAGCUCGCCCGCUUUCUCUCUCUCUCUUCACAAGUCGCCUUAGCCACUCUGCCACCACCUCCCUGGCCACAAAAUAGACCCAGAAAUUCGAAGCGGUUGUGUCGCAGAAGACUGGAAUUCCAGCACUUACGCUCGGGAAUCCGCGAGUGGAGAAUUCAGAGGAGAUGGGUCUGGGUUGUUUUGAAUUCCAACAGUCAGCCUAAGCUAAAUAGGUAGAUCCUUUAUAGACCUUGCUUUAAAAGGGCAGGCGGACCGGUGAGCGGGCGAGGGGGAGGGGAGGACGGGACACCCUAGAGGCUGUUUGUCACUCCCCUCCCUGGAGGAGAUUCCAGUCUAAGCUUCCCUUGCAUCCGCCUACACAGACUGCAGAAAGCGCUGCGCAAAUGCUAACCUUCACCUAACUGGCGUGAGUUUCUCAGGGGUCCACGUCCCACGCCGCCCUUACUAGAACGAAGAAGAGAAAAUCCUGCACGCGUAUUCCACUGCAGGACAAUCCGUUUUAACAGUAAGCGUGAGAAAAGAUAUUGAGAGCUGCAGUUUGCAAAGCGACUGACUAGGAUCCAAACCGUCACCUAAUCGGCCCUAAAUUCUUAGAAGGGCCAAACUCUUACUGUUGACAGUCGGGAGUUAGUUUUGGAGCUGGGAAAAGUGGGAGAGCUAGCAAAAUGAACUGAAAGUAUUUACAGCAAAUAUUGCAGAGAAAGCUGCCCUCACCUCCAGGAGGAGUGGAGGAAGAAGGAAGCCGGCCUUUAAAGACUGUACAAGUUUGUUCUUUGAGCCUCCUGCCAGGCCAUUUACCAGAAUGCAAUGCUUCUCUCUGUGGCCAUAUACACGUCUCAUGCCACAUGUUAAGGAGCCAACACAGAACAUAUCAGUUGCUGAAUAUGAGUAUAGCACUUGAGCAUUCUAGAAUUGAAAAAAAAGCAACCACUGUGUGUUUAAGGGCUCAUUGGAUCCAUUGCAAAUGAUCUCAGCUUAAAAUGCAAUGUCUCUAUAAGUUCCCAACUUCACUACUGGACAGAGUCACAUUUGGGGUAUCCAGGUAUUGGCACUGAUCCAGAAACAGUAACAGCAUUCCCUAAAAGUCUGACUAUUUGCAUUUCAUUCAGUGCAUGGUCAUUCAUGGAUCCCUAUGGGGAAGAUGGAGAAACACAUAAGUAAAUGCAAAUCUUGUCAGGGUUCUAGCAGCCUGGCUUUGGAGAGGUUUUAGGUCUGCACAAACAUCAUGACCAAGAAGCAAGUUGGGGAG
rnacentral:lncRNA from 1 species